GAUGAACGCUGGCGGCGUGCCUAAUACAUGCAAGUCGAGCGAACGGACGAGAAGCUUGCUUCUCUGAUGUUAGCGGCGGACGGGUGAGUCACACGUGGAUAACCUACCUAUAAGACUGGGAUAACUUCGGGAAACCGGAGCUAAUCCCGGAUAAUAUCUUGAACCGCAUGGUUCAAAAGUGAAAGACGGUCUUGCUGUCACUUAUCGAUGGAUCCGCGCUGCAUUAGCUAGUUGGUAAGGUAACGGCUUACCAAGGCAACGAUGCAUAGCCGACCUGAGAGGGUGAUCGGCCACACUGGAACUGAGACACGGUCCAGACUCCUACGGGAGGCAGCAGUAGGGAAUCUUCCGCAAUGGGCGAAAGCCUGACGGAGCAACGCCGCGUGAGUGAUGAAGGUCUUCGGAUCGUAAAACUCUGUUAUUAGGGAAGAACAUAUGUGUAAGUAACUGUGCACAUCGUGACGGUACCUAAUCAGAAAGCCACGGCUAACUACGUG
rnacentral:rRNA from 1 species